UACGGAGGGUGCGAGCGUUAAUCGGAAUUACUGGGCGUAAAGCGCGCGUAGGCGGUGCGCUAAGUCAGCUGUGAAAGCCCUAGGCUUAACCUGGGAACGGCAGUUGAUACUGGCGCGCUAGAGUGUGAUAGAGGGUGGCGGAAUUCCCGGUGUAGCGGUGAAAUGCGUAGAGAUCGGGAGGAACACCAAUGGCGAAAGCAGCCACCUGGGUCAACACUGACGCUGAGGUGCGAAAGCGUGGGGAGCAAACAGG
rnacentral:rRNA from 1 species